GCGGUUGUGGUGGAAUGGCAGACACGCUGUCUUCAGGCGGCAGUGCUUUCGGGCGUGCGGGUUCAACUCCCGCCAACCGCACCA
rnacentral:tRNA from 2 species